rnacentral:rRNA from 1 species
AGUCGAACGGUAACAGCACUUCGUGUGGCUGACGAGUGGCGCACGGGUGCGUAACGCGUAUGCAAUCUACCUUUUACAGUGGGAUAGCCCAGAGAAAUUUGGAUUAAUACCGCAUAGUAUAUAGAAUUGGCAUCGAUUUUAUAUUAAACAUUUAUGGGUAAAAGAUGAGCAUGCGUUCUAUUAGCUAGAUGGAGUGGUAACGGCACCCCAUGGCGACGAUAGAUAGGGGCCCUGAGAGGGGGAUCCCCCACACUGGUACUGAGACACGGACCAGACUCCUACGGGAGGCAGCAGUGAGGAAUAUUGGACAAUGGGCGCAAGCCUGAUCCAGCCAUGCCGCGUGCAGGAAGACUGCCCUAUGGGUUGUAAACUGCUUUUAUACGGGAAGAAGCACCCCCUCGUGAGGGGGCUUGACGGUACCGUAAGAAUAAGGAUCGGCUAACUCCGUGCCAGCAGCCGCGGUAAUACGGAGGAUCCAAGCGUUAUCCGGAAUCAUUGGGUUUAAAGGGUCCGUAGGUGGAUAAUUAAGUCAGAGGUGAAAUCCUGCAGCUCAACUGUAGAAUUGCCUUUGAUACUGGUUAUCUUGAAUUAUUAUGAAGUAGUUAGAAUAUGUAGUGUAGCGGUGAAAUGCAUAGAUAUUACAUAGAAUACCAAUUGCGAAGGCAGAUUACUAAUAAUAUAUUGACACUGAUGGACGAAAGCGUGGGGAGCGAACAGGAUUAGAUACCCUGGUAGUCCACGCCGUNAACGAUGGAUACUAGCUGUUCGGAGCAAUCUGAGUGGCUAAGCGAAAGUGAUAAGUAUCCCACCUGGGGAGUACGUUCGCAAGAAUGAAACUC